CUACGUGCCAGCAGCCGCGGUAAUACGUAGGUGGCAAGCGUUGUCCGGAAUUAUUGGGCGUAAAGCGCGCGCAGGCGGAUCUGCCAGUCUGUCUUAAAAGUUCGGGGCUCAACCCCGUGAUGGGAUGGAAACUGCCAAUCUAGAGUAUCGGAGAGGAAAGUGGAAUUCCUAGUGUAGCGGUGAAAUGCGUAGAUAUUAGGAAGAACACCAGUGGCGAAGGCGACUUUCUGGACGAAAACUGACGCUGAGGCGCGAAAGCCAGGGGAGCGAACGGGGUUAGAUACCCCGGUAGUCCUGGCCGUAAACGAUGGGUACUAGGUGUAGGAGGUAUCGACCCCUUCCGUGCCGGAGUUAACGCAAUAAGUACCCCGCCUGGGGAGUACGACCGCAAGGUUGAAACUCAAAGGAAUUGACGGGGGCCCGCACAAGCGGUGGAGUAUGUGGUUUAAUUCGACGCAACGCGAAGAACCUUACCAGGUCUUGACAU
rnacentral:rRNA from 1 species